UGAAUACGAGAUGCUACGGCGUCGAAGCAGUCUAUGUCAUACUUCCAAGAAAAGCUCGCACUGUCAUAAACAAAUAAUGCCUGUACCAUAACCGACACAGGUGGGUAGGUAGAGUAUACUAAGGGGCGCGAGAUAACUCUCUCUAAGGAACUCGGCAAAAUGACUCCGUAACUUCGGGAGAAGGAGUGCCUUAUUUAUAAGGUUGCAAUAACAAGAUCCAAGCAACUGUUUAUCAAAAACACAGGUCUCCGCUAAGUCGUAAGACGAUGUAUGGGGGCUGACGCCUGCCCAGUGCCAGAAGGUUAAAGAAGUUGGUAGCAUUCGCGAAGCUGAUAACUGAAGCCCUGGUGAACGGCGGCCGUAACUAUAACGGUCCUAAGGUAGCGAAAUUCCUUGUCGGGUAAGUUCCGACCCGCACGAAAGGCGUAAUGAUUUGGAUACUGUCUCGGAGAGGGGCUCGGUGAAAUAGACUUGUCUGUGAAGAUGCGGACUACCUGCACCAGGACAGAAAGACCCUAUGAAGCUUUACUGUAACUUGAGAUUGAAAUUGGACUUUACUUGCGCAGUAUAGGUGGGAGGCGUUGAUAAUAUUCUUGCGGGAUUAUUUGAGCCAUCAGUGAGAUACCACUCUUGUAAUGUUAGAUUUCUAACUUUGUAUCAUUAUCUGGUCAAAGGACAGUUUCAGGCGGGCAGUUUGACUGGGGCGGUCGCCUCCUAAACGGUAACGGAGGCACACAAAGGUUUCCUCUGAACGGGUAGAAAUCGUAUCUAGAGUGUAAAGGCAUAAGGAGGCUUGACUGUGAGACCUACAAGUCGAGCAGGGACGAAAGUCGGUCUUAGUGAUCUGACGGUGCUGAGUGGAAAGGCCGUCACUCAACGGAUAAAAGUUACUCUAAGGAUAACAGGCUGAUCUCCCCCAAGAGUUCACAUCGACGGGGAGGUUUGGCACCUCGAUGUCGGCUCAUCGCAUCCUGGGGCGGUAGUACGUCCCAAGGGUUGGGCUGUUCGCCCAUGAAAGCGGUACGCGAGCUGGGUUCAGAACGUCGUGAGACAGUUCGGUCCAUAUCCGGUGUAGGCGUUAGAAUAUUGAGAGGAGCCUUCUUUAGUACGAGAGGACCGAGAAGGACAUACCUCUGGUGUACCAGUUAUCGUGCCAACGGUAAACGCUGGGUAGCUAUGUAUGGAGUGGAUAACCGCUGAAAGCAUCUAAGUGGGAAGCCCACCUCAAGAUAAGUAUUCUC
rnacentral:rRNA from 1 species